rnacentral:rRNA from 1 species
AACGAACGCUGGCGGCAUGCCUAACGCAUGCAAGUCGAACGAGACCUUCGGGUCUAGUGGCGCACGGGUGCGUAACGCGUGGGAACCUGCCCUUAGGUUCGGAAUAACUCCCCGAAAGGGGUGCUAAUACCGGAUAAUGACUUCGGACCAAAGAUUUAUCGCCUUUGGAUGGGCCCGCGUUGGAUUAGCUAGUUGGUAGGGUAAAAGCCUACCAAGGCGACGAUCCAUAGCUGGUCUGAGAGGAUGAUCAGCCACACUGGGACUGAGACACGGCCCAGACUCCUACGGGAGGCAGCAGUGGGGAAUAUUGGACAAUGGGCGAAAGCCUGAUCCAGCAAUGCCGCGUGAGUGAUGAAGGCCUUAGGGUUGUAAAGCUCUUUUACCCGGGAUGAUAAUGACAGUACCGGGAGAAUAAGCUCCGGCUAACUCCGUG